UUUAAAGGCUUCCCUGCUGAUUCUAAUGCGUAGCCAAGGUUGACAUCUAUUACUCUGGGAUCCUUGGCAUCACUACUUUCAACAAGCUCCUCAGAUGAUUCUGGUGUAACCCAUCAGAGCUUCGGGAUCCUAAGAUUAAAUACACUCUGGAUUGACCUCAGGAAGUCUACUUUCUCUCCUCUUCCUCCAGUUCCUGGGAGCGAGACAGGAUGAAGAGGUCAGCUUUUGUGUGCACGCCCUUCCAUCCGCCCACUGUAGCACUUGGUGCCCAUGGAGACAUCCCUGAGAUGAGGCCCCACCGUCCAGCACACAUGGUGUUCCCCGCCCCAGAUACCCUCCGGUCACAGCCCAGGACCCUGAGGUCCAAUACAACUAC
rnacentral:lncRNA from 1 species